GAUGAACGCUAGCGGCAGGCUUAAUACAUGCAAGUCGUGGGGCCGCAGGACUGUAGCAAUCCAGUUGCUGGCGACCGGCAAACGGGUGCGGAACACGUACGCAACUUACCCUGAACUGGGGGAUAGCCGGGGGACACCCGGUUUAAUACCCCGUAAUAUAAUGCAGUGGCAUCCCUUUAUUAUUAACGCUUCGGCUGUUCCGUAUGGGCGUGCGGCUGCUUAGGUAGUUGGUUGAGGUAACGGCUCACCACGACUACGAUCAGUAACUGGUGUGAGGGAACGACAAGUCACACGGGAACUGAGACACGGGCCCGACUCGGACGGGAGGCAGCAGUAAGGAAUAUUGGGCAAGGGAGGCAACUCUGACCCAGCCAUGCCGCGUGGAGGAGGAAGGCCCUCGGGGAUGUAAACUUCUUGUAUAGGGGACGAAACCAGUGUAUUCUUACGCAGUUGACGGUACCCUAGGAAUAAGCACCGGCUAACUCCGUG
rnacentral:rRNA from 1 species